CCUACGGGUGGCAGCAGUGAGGAAUAUUGGUCAAUGGACGAGAGUCUGAACCAGCCAAGUAGCGUGAAGGAUGACUGCCCUAUGGGUUGUAAACCUCUUUUAUCAAGGAAUAAAACGCGGCACGUGUGCCUUUUUGCAAGUACUUUAUGAAUAAGGAUCGGCUAACUCCGUGCCAGCAGCCGCGGUAAUACGGAGGAUCCGAGCGUUAUCCGGAUUUAUUGGGUUUAAAGGGAGCGUAGAUGGGUUGUUCAGUCAGUUGUGAAAGUUGGAGGCUCAACCGUCAAAUUGCAAUUGAUACUGGGAUUCUUGAGUACAGUUGAGGUAGGCGGAAUUCGUGGUGUAGCGGUGAAAUGCUUAGAUAUCACGAAGAACCCCGAUUGCGAAGGCAGCUUACUGGACUGUAACUGACAUUGAUGCUCGAAAGUGUGGGUAUCAAACAGGAUUAGAUACCCCGGUAGUC
rnacentral:rRNA from 1 species